rnacentral:rRNA from 1 species
AGAGUUUGAUCCUGGCUCAGGACGAACGCUGGCGGCGUGCCUAACACAUGCAAGUCGAGCGGAGACAGGGAGUAGCUUGCUAUGAACUGUUUUAGCGGCGGACGGGUGAGUAACGCGUGAGCAACCUUUCCCAGACAGGGGAAUAACACACCGAAAGGUGUACUAAUACCGCAUAAGACCACGGAAUCACAUGGUUCUGGGGUAAAAGAAUUAUCGGUUUGGGGUGGGCUCGCGUCCGAUUAGGUAGUUGGUGAGGUAACGGCCCACCAAGCCGACGAUCGGUAGCCGACCUGAGAGGGUGAUCGGCCACAUUGGGACUGAGACACGGCCCAAACUCCUACGGGAGGCAGCAGUGGGGAAUAUUGCACAAUGGGGGAAACCCUGAUGCAGCGACGCCGCGUGAGCGAAGAAGUAUUUCGGUAUGUAAAGCUCUAUCAGCAGGGAAGAAAAUGACGGUACCUGACUAAGAAGCCCCGGCUAACUACGUGCCAGCAGCCGCGGUAAUACGUAGGGGGCAAGCGUUGUCCGGAAUAAUUGGGCGUAAAGGGCGCGUAGGCGGCUCGGUAAGUCUGGAGUGAAAGUCCUGCUUUUAAGGUGGGAAUUGCUUUGGAUACUGUCGGGCUUGAGUGCAGGAGAGGUUAGUGGAAUUCCCAGUGUAGCGGUGAAAUGCGUAGAGAUUGGGAGGAACACCAGUGGCGAAGGCGACUAACUGGACUGUAACUGACGCUGAGGCGCGAAAGUGUGGGGAGCAAACAGGAUUAGAUACCCUGGUAGUCCACACUGUAAACGAUGAAUGCUAGGUGUAGGGGGUAUCGACCCCUUCUGUGCCGCAGUCAACACAAUAAGCAUUCCGCCUGGGGAGUACGGCCGCAAGGUUGAAACUCAAAGGAAUUGACGGGGGCCCGCACAAGCAGCGGAGCAUGUGGUUUAAUUCGACGCAACGCGAAGAACCUUACCAGGUCUUGACAUCCACUUAAACUUACAGAGAUGUAAGGUGUGCUUGCACAAAGUGAGACAGGUGGUGCAUGGUUGUCGUCAGCUCGUGUCGUGAGAUGUUGGGUUAAGU